GACGAACGCUGGCGGCGUGCUUAACACAUGCAAGUCGAACGCUGAAGACCUGGCUUUUGUUGGGUUGGAUGAGUGGCGAACGGGUGAGUAACACGUGAGUAACCUGCCCUCUUCUUUGGGAUAACGCCCGGAAACGGGUGCUAAUACUGGAUAUUCACUGAUCUUCGCAUGGGGGUUGGUGGAAAGGUUUGUUCUGGUGGGGGAUGGGCUCGCGGCCUAUCAGCUUGUUGGUGGGGUGAUGGCCUACCAAGGCUUUGACGGGUAGCCGGCCUGAGAGGGUGACCGGCCACAUUGGGACUGAGAUACGGCCCAGACUCCUACGGGAGGCAGCAGUGGGGAAUAUUGCACAAUGGGCGAAAGCCUGAUGCAGCGACGCCGCGUGAGGGAUGGAGGCCUUCGGGUUGUAAACCUCUUUCGCUCAUGGUCAAGCCGCAACUGUGGGUUGUGGUGAGGGUAGUGGGUAAAGAAGCGCCGGCUAACUACGUG
rnacentral:rRNA from 1 species